rnacentral:misc_RNA from 1 species
UCGCGGAGCGAUUAGAAGCACGCUUCACAAUGCCAUUCCAGCGAAACUUAUUACGCCAGAUAGCAAUAGUAAACUUGCUAACUCCUUUAAGAGGAGCCAGUUAGACUGGCAACCUCCAAAUCCAAGCCAUUAAGAAACCCUAAUGGUUGAGAUUUCAUGACACUCAAACAGGCAUGCUCUCCGGAAUACCAGAGAGCGCA